GCUUACCAUUCCAUUACAAGCAAAACUGGUCUACAAGUCAACGUUGUUUCCGCAAACCUGAUAAAUUCCAGGUGAACAUUUUGCAAGAUAUUGCAACACGAAAUACCAUUCUGAUCGACUGGUUAAGAAAAACUAUGUAACUUCGAGAGGUAAGAAAGAAAGAAGAAAGGAAAGUCCAUUCACGAGGAGUCCAGAUAGUUUUCAUCGUAAUUUACGAGACUGUCCCCAUAAAUUACGAUUCGCAAAGCGAACCGCAGUACGUGUGAGUCAAUGUAUAUGUUUGCAAGGCCAAGGUCACGGUGCAACAAUCUUCCGGCUCGUGGUAUGCGAUGCAGAUCGAAUGGAAGGCGCAACGAAAAUACGCGUGGGUGCACCCUCUGGGUUCACCAUGGGUGCUACAACCCUUAACCUUUUCACGCAUUUACCCGGUCGUACACCCCGUGUGUUGAUUCAGUUUUAUGCUACAACAACCAUGUUGUUCAAUAUUUAUGCAAUUAAACUGAUAAAUAAAAUGUUUGUGUCCAACAUCGAACUUACUCAUGCAUCAUCGAUUAGUCGUGACCUCCAGUUUCUGGGAAAAUGAAAUCCGGC